AUUGAACGCUGGCGGCAGGCCUAACACAUGCAAGUCGAGCGGAUGAAGGGAGCUUGCUCCUGGAUUCAGCGGCGGACGGGUGAGUAAUGCCUAGGAAUCUGCCUGGUAGUGGGGGAUAACGUCCGGAAACGGGCGCUAAUACCGCAUACGUCCUGAGGGAGAAAGUGGGGGAUCUUCGGACCUCACGCUAUCAGAUGAGCCUAGGUCGGAUUAGCUAGUUGGUGGGGUAAAGGCCUACCAAGGCGACGAUCCGUAACUGGUCUGAGAGGAUGAUCAGUCACACGGGAACUGAGACACCGUCCAGGCUCCUACGGGAGGCAGCAGUGGGGAAUAUUGGACAGUGGGCGAAAGCCUUGUCCAGCCAUGCCGCGUGUGUGAAGAAGGUCUUCGGAUUGUAAAGCACUUUAAGUUGGGAGGAAGGGCAGUAAGUUAAUACCUUGCUGUUUUGACGUUACCAACAGAAUAAGCACCGGCUAACUUCGUG
rnacentral:rRNA from 1 species